UACGUAGGCAGCGAGCGUUGUUCGGAGUUACUGGGCGUAAAGCGUGCGUAGUCGGUUAUUUAAGUCGGGCGUGAAAGCCCCGGGCUCAACCUGGGAAUUGCGUUCGAUACUGGAUAGCUAGAGUUCGGCAGAGGGAAGCGGAAUUUCUGGUGUAGCGGUGAAAUGCGUAGAUAUCAGAAGGAACAUCAGUGGCGAAAGCGGCUUCCUGGACCAGAACUGACGAUCAGGCACGAAAGCGUGGGGAGCAAACAGG
rnacentral:rRNA from 1 species